rnacentral:lncRNA from 1 species
GGCAAAAGGGUAAAUCAUGAUUCAUGGGUAAUAUGUACGACCUCUGCAGAGCGUUUAUUAAAACUGGUAUAAUAGUUGUGCUCAUGGUCACAAGCGGCCUUGGGGACAUCUACAUUAUGGGUGACCUUGUUGAUAUAAUAUGCUCAUUAUUUAUUGUUUAAUGAUUUACAUUAUUUAUGUCACAUUGAUCAUGAGAUUGCGGGAUCUAUACAAUCUAGUUGCUAUACUUGUGGAGUUCGACACAGACUCACAAUUGCUAUUUCCCCCACACUUCAGGAGAUGUUUUAGGAUUCUGAUCAACCAGUCAGUCCGUUAUAUGUUUCCUAAGGUUCGCUCUGAUUUACUAAGUACAUUAUUAUACUUAUGCAUUGUCUUUUGAUAUUACCCCUUAUUUGUAGCUAUAUGCGAGAUUUGGCUUGUAAGACUCACAUAUGGUGCUUAUCUGAUUUUGUUCUUAAAAUUGGGUAUUACAAAGUGUUAGCUAAUUGAGCCUCAUGAACCCCUGGUUGUACUUGUUGAGUAUGAUAUGUGCUCAUUUAUGCUAUUUCUCACCACUCCAGUCUACUAGUAAGAGUAGAUCAGAAGAGUAAUGGAGUCAAGAAGGAUGUUCUCACAGAACUGUCAGAAGUGUUUGGCGUACGUAACCCCUAGUUAGACGUCCCUGUGAAGUUUGAGUCUAUAGUUUAGUUACCGUUCCGCGAUACUCUAAUAUAAGUGUUCAUAGUAUGUUCCCAUUGUAUAACAUUGUUUCUGAUACCAUUGCUUCUAUUGUUGUAUGUGUGAACAUCCUGGACACACAUAUGGCUAUCCUAGUUUUAUUCUUUAAGACUGGGUGUGACAUGGAGGCAUCAAUAUCCGUGCUCUUGCAGAUUUUUUUGUGUGCGUUUAAAAUGCCCAACAGUAACUUUUGUUUCAUAUUUUUAAGUGCCAUGAUUAUAAGAACAACCACAUUUCUUACAUUAUGUUAGGGAUUACAACCUAGCAGAGGCGGCGUAACAGAUGCCAACAAGAUCCACCAACUAAGGCAUAGCUAGAACAUAAGAAUAGGAAUUAGAGGAGUCAAGCAACGCCUGGAUCCUAGAUCUAGUCACAAGGAGGCUAGGUACAACCAUGUACUUCUCUCUUGUAUUAAACAUUAUUAAUCUAUUUGUGUUAUUUGUCUCCUAGUUCAUUGUGUUUGCCUUGUUGUUCAUGUUUUGAUUUUCUAGUUCAUAAUCUAGCUCGUCUAAUUCUUAUUUCAGUUUAUCUACACUACAAGAAUCUGCCAUCUUAUGACUUUUACCCCAUGACAUUAGACUAAAUAGUCACUACUUUGAUUAGUUUAUGAGUUCUUUUGUGGAGCCAACUUAGCUUAGUGACAUUAAUUAAUUUAUGUCAUAAAAAAGUCUUAAUGCUAGUAUAAUGGAAUAUCGUGACAUUAUUUAUCAUGUCAUAAUAACCAAUUUACUAUUAUCAUAUAGCAAAUGGUAUAUUGUUAUAAGUCACAAAAUAUUUUAUUAAUUUUUUUGAAACAUUAUAAUCCAGGUGGCAUAUGGGCCCACUUGACAAACUGGCACCAAUCAUGUGGGUCCUAUAGUCCAGUUUUUUUUUUUUUUUUUUUUUGCUGUUGACUUUUGAUUUUAGAAAGCUUGCUUGAUUGUCCGUUGAUUUGCAAUUGUGCCAUCUCUAUCGAUCUACAGAGCAUGUGCAGCAGGCUGGAGGGGUGGCCACUUCCUCAAGCUAGCAUUCAUCAUGGUGGGCAGGCUGCUGUGCCAUGUUGCUAUUGGUGAGCUUACAGGUUAUCAUUUAAGAGUUUUGUAAGUGCAAUCAAGCUCUAAGUAGGUGGUUUGCAAUGGCUUCAAGAGCGAGCUAUUUCUUUUGCCUUUUGAAAUUGAGUCAUAAGACAAGUCGUACUAUCAAGGGGGAUACUAAUAGUGGUUUGGGGUGCAACCAAGUGCUCAAUCUACCUUACUCAUCCCAAUCCUAUCUUCUCCCCUUCUAUGCCCAGAUUAGAUGACUUCCAUGAACCCACAAUUGAACCCAUCCUUCACUCAAAUAAAUCUUCUAAUGCUCUUUUUCCUAAACCUCCUGACAAUGUUACCAAUCCACCUAUUGUUGGCGGUUCUUAAUGACAUAUUUACCCCGCCAACAUAGUCCAUGCAAAGGAAGAAAAGCAUGUAUUUUACUCACACAUACUUAUUAAAUGCUUACCAAGUUCCACAUGUAGUGCAAGUUGUGUUUUGCAGAUCAUAUACAAGCAUACAGGUGGAAAGCAAAUAAAAAGGCGCAAUCCGACACGUCAAAAAAAUGCGCAAAUAAACAAGUACCCAAAAGCCCAAUAUAGAAGUGCAUCAAUUUGCAGGUGGAUCUGGACUCAGGGGCCCGAGAGGAAGGCAACGGGCUUCGGGCCGGGGCCAGCGGGGCCCACCAGGGGGCGGCCGCCCCCUAGGGUCGGCUGACCCUGACCCAGCCCAUCUCGGCACCGCCUUUCGCAGAGGCGGAUCUGAGCCUAUCCUCCCGCAGUCCCUGUGGUCAAAUUGCAGUUUACACCAUGGGGAACUGACCUUCCCCACCUAUUUAAGGAGGGGGAGAGGGAGGCUCCAUUCAUCUCAUCAUAUUCACAAUCAACACUCCACCUUCAAGGCACUUGGGCACCACCUCUUCUUAGUUUUUUCCUUUUAGCUUUUAGAUAGAGAGUUGGGUGAGCUAUCAAGGAGGGCUUGGCUCCAUGGAGAGAAACUUGGGUAUGAAUAAAGAAUAUCUUUACUCCAAGUCCAUGCCUUAUCAUGUCCGAUAUAGUUCUUCAUAUGAACUAGAGUAUAGUUCUUAUGCUAUGGUAUGACAUAGAUCAUAGGCCCUGUUUUAUUAUGCUAGCAUAUGAACUAGAAUAUAGUUCUAGUGAAAAUGAUAUGACAUACGUUUUAGUAUAUAGUUCUUAUAGUAUAAUGCUACCCUAGGGCUAGUAGUGUAUUAUAUGAACUAGUGCUAAGUGUAUGUUGUAUUAUUCGCACUUAGGACUUUAGUCUAAUUGCUUCAUGUUAAUUAAUUGCCUAGAAAUAGCUUUGUGUGAAGAUGGGGAUUUAUCAUGCUCUUUUGAGUAGGCUCGGGCUUUUUGCCUGUCGAUCCGUAGGGUCGGGGAGCCGGGGGAGUCCGAGUAGGUUCUUUGCAUGUAAGCAUGGUGCUUGGGUGUAAAGGCUGGGUAAAUGCAUUGUCCUAGUCCACGGUUGAGGGGAUGGCGGCAGGUGGUGACAGCCCUGUCCGUCCUUGGCAUUCCCCCACGUUCGGCUAG